AACUCCAAUAGCGUAUAUUUAAGUUGUUGCAGUUAAAAAGCUCGUAGUUGCAUUUUGGGUUGGGUUGACUGGUCCACCUUAGGUGUGCACCGGUCGUCUCGUCCCUUCUACUGGCGAUGCGCUCCUGGUCUUAAUUGGCCGGGUGCCUCCGGCGCUAUUGCUUUGAACAAAUUAGAGUGCUCAAAGAAAGCCUACACUCUGGAUACAUUAGCAUGGGAUAACAUCAUAGGAUAGUCAGGGGCAUUCGUAUUUCAUAGUUAGAGGUGAAAUUCUUGGAUUUAUGAAAGAUGAACAACUGCGAAAGCAUUUGCAAAGGAUGUUUUCA
rnacentral:rRNA from 1 species